rnacentral:ncRNA from 16 species
AGGUUGGCGCAGUCGGCAGCGCGUAGGUCUCUUAAUCCUAAGGUCAUGAGUUCGAUCCUCAUACC